rnacentral:rRNA from 1 species
GGCGGCGUGCUUAACACAUGCAAGUCGAGCGGAAAGGCCCUUCGGGGUACUCGAGCGGCGAACGGGUGAGUAACACGUGAGCAACCUGCCCUAGGCUUUGGGAUAACCCUCGGAAACGGGGGCUAAUACCGAAUAGGACUGCCGGACGCAUGGUUGGUGGUGGAAAGUUUUUCGGCCUGGGAUGGGCUCGCGGCCUAUCAGCUUGUUGGUGGGGUGAUGGCCUACCAAGGCGACGACGGGUAGCCGGCCUGAGAGGGCGACCGGCCACACUGGGACUGAGACACGGCCCAGACUCCUACGGGAGGCAGCAGUGGGGAAUAUUGCACAAUGGGCGGAAGCCUGAUGCAGCGACGCCGCGUGAGGGAUGACGGCCUUCGGGUUGUAAACCUCUUUCAGCAGGGACGAAGCGCAAGUGACGGUACCUGCAGAAGAAGCACCGGCCAACUACGUGCCAGCAGCCGCGGUAAGACGUAGGGUGCGAGCGUUGUCCGGAUUUAUUGGGCGUAAAGAGCUCGUAGGCGGCUUGUCGCGUCGACCGUGAAAACUUGGGGCUCAACCCCAAGCCUGCGGUCGAUACGGGCAGGCUAGAGUUCGGUAGGGGAGACUGGAAUUCCUGGUGUAGCGGUGAAAUGCGCAGAUAUCAGGAGGAACACCGGUGGCGAAGGCGGGUCUCUGGGCCGAUACUGACGCUGAGGAGCGAAAGCGUGGGGAGCGAACAGGAUUAGAUACCCUGGUAGUCCACGCUGUAAACGUUGGGCGCUAGGUGUGGGGGGCCUCUCCGGUUCUCUGUGCCGCAGCUAACGCAUUAAGCGCCCCGCCUGGGGAGUACGGCCGC